CAAAUACUUAAAGAGUUCAAUCAGGGAAUUUCUGACAGGUAAGGAGUUGGAAGAGCUGGCUUUAGAUGUAGGUUUUUCCAAUGCCAGAUAUUAUGAGAUUGGUGGAAGCCUCAUGGGGAACCUAGCCACCCGUUAAAUCUUGUGUAUUAUCUUUCAGAUUGUGUUUUGUUGAACAUGACAUGUGCCUUUGGUAGAGAGGAAUGAUGUUGGACUUGAACAUUUCCUUUCAAUUAUUCUCUCAUAGCUGUGAAUAACAAUCUUUAAGAGCA